AGGAAGUUGAGGCGGAGGGUAUGGAACCUAAUUAGUACAUUUGAUUGACUGGUAUGUGAUUUUCGCUUUGCAGGUUUUCUUGUUUUUCCAUUUGGUUUUGGAGCUCAAAAGUAUAUUUGUUUCUUUUUUUUGCUGGGUUGUGAUUUUCUUUACUAUGAGUAACAUAUUAUGGGUUUUGCAUCACUCCAACAGAAAGACUUCUAGAAUACUCAUACGUGUCCCGUGGCUUCUCAUCUCAGAGGGAAACCAGUGUUGGAUUGGGGAACUAGGGAAACGGAUUGCCUUUUGGAGUUGCAAGAGGACUGUUAUACCUUCAUGAGCAGUGUGACCUGAAAGUUAUCCACAGGGAUGUGAAGGCAUCAAAUGUACUUGAUGACUACUGUGAAGCCGUAGUUGGAGAUUUUUAUUUGGAAAAGCUUUUGGAUCACCAAGAUUCACAUGUCACCACUGCAGUGAGGGGUACCAUAGGACACAUAGCUCCAGUCCUCUGAUAAGAUGUCUUUGGAUUCGGUAUUCUUCUCCUUGAACUAAUCACAGGCUAGGCAGCUCUAGAAUUUGCCUAGUCAACUAACCAAAAAGUAGCCAUACUUGAUUGGGUGAGCAAACAACACAAAUCCUGUAUAUUUAUUACGAAAAUAGUACUAAAUAGUAACUGAUUAGUCCAAUUUUAUAUGAUUUACAUUCGAGAUUCAUUUGAUCACAGGUUAAAAAGUUGCAUCAGGAAAAGAAGCUUGAAAUGCUAGUGGACAAGGAUAUUAAUACUAACGGUGAUCGCAUUGAGCUUGAAGAAAUGAUUCAAGUUGCACUCGUGUACUCAAUACCUUCCUGGUCAUAGGCCCAGAAUGUCUAAAGUACGUGGUCAGAAUGCUAGAAGGUGAUGGACUUGUCUCAAGUUUCUGUUUCAAACGCCUCUAAGUGUUGUUUGUCUGCAUCUGAAAGUAGAAGUGUUCUGUGGUUAAGUGAAAGACUGCUAAAUCGCAAUUUUUGAUGUACAAAUGAACUAAUUGUUUUUAAUUCAAGCAAUAAAAGAAAAGUCUGGAAUGAAAUUGGGGUAUUUUAUUUUAUUCA